UAACGCGAAGAACCUUACCUGGGCUUGACAUGGACUAGAAAGCUCUAGAGAUAGAGCCUCCCUUGUGGCUGGUUCACAGGUGGUGCAUGGCUGUCGUCAGCUCGUGUCGUGAGAUGUUGGGUUAAGUCCCGCAACGAGCGCAACCCUCGUUCCAUGUUGCCAGCGCGUUAUGGCGGGGACUCAUGGGAGACUGCCGGGGUCAACUCGGAGGAAGGUGGGGAUGACGUCAAGUCAUCAUGCCCCUUAUGUCCAGGGCUUCACACAUGCUACAAUGGCCGGUACAAAGGGCUGCUAAGCCGUGAGGUGGAGCGAAUCCCAAAAAGCCGGUCUCAGUUCGGAUUGGGGUCUGCAACUCGACCCCAUGAAGUCGGAGUCGCUAGUAAUCGCAGAUCAGCAACGCUGCGGUGAAUACGUUCCCGGGCCUUGUACACACCGA
rnacentral:rRNA from 1 species